AUUGCAAGCCACCGCAGGUUCUCUUCUUGUGGCUUGCUUGUCCAAACUUAUUGCACUUCAUCUUCAACCCUACCCUGCUUGCAUUUCCUGUUGAUGCCCCUGCACUGCUUGAAGAUGCCUUUACAUUGCUUGAUGAACCCCUACCUUCAUGUUCAUUAGCUUCCUUUCGUCUAGCCUUUUUUGGUCUCCUCGCCUUUCUGGAGUAGAAAGGUGGUUUCAAGGGGUCAAGACCUGGGUUAGGGAAUAAGUCUAGACUUGUUAUGGGUGAGAUAGACGGUGUAUAUGUUCUAAUGUUUGGCUUAUCAAAUAAACUCCCACCAUGGUGGACCUCCAUUAUGAAAUAAUCUGUAUUAGGACCUGUAUGAACAUGGUAAUGACAUCCAAUUACGUAUGUAUUUUCUGCAAUAUAAUUAUUUGCAUACGGAUUACAGGCCCCUUAUCAAAAGAGGGGGGGGGGGGAACAACUAACUGGAAUCAGGUGCCUUCUCUUAAUAAAGUCUGAAUCUUGGAUAUUGCAUUUCUAUAUGGAUGAGAUAUUAAAGAAAGCUCAAUAAAAG
rnacentral:lncRNA from 1 species